rnacentral:rRNA from 1 species
AGAGUUUGAUCCUGGCUCAGAGCGAACGCUGGCGGCAUGCUUAACACAUGCAAGUCGCACGGGCACUUCGGUGUCAGUGGCGGACGGGUGAGUAACGCGUAGGUAUCUAUCCUUGGGUGGGGGACAACCGUGGGAAACUACGGCUAAUACCGCAUGAUGACCGAGGUCUAAAGGCGCAAGUCGCCUGGGGAGGAGCCUGCGUACGAUUAGCUAGUUGGUGGGGUAAGAGCCUACCAAGGCGACGAUCGUUAGCUGGUCUGAGAGGAUGAUCAGCCACAUUGGGACUGAGACACGGCCCAAACUCCUACGGGAGGCAGCAGUGGGGAAUAUUGGACAAUGGGCGAAAGCCUGAUCCAGCAAUGCCGCGUGUGUGAAGAAGGUCUUCGGAUUGUAAAGCACUUUCGGCGGGGACGAUGAUGACGGUACCCGCAGAAGAAGCCCCGGCUAACUUCGUGCCAGCAGCCGCGGUAAUACGAAGGGGGCUAGCGUUGCUCGGAAUGACUGGGCGUAAAGGGCGCGUAGGCGGAUGGCACAGUCAGAUGUGAAAUUCCUGGGCUUAACCUGGGGGCUGCAUUUGAUACGUGUUGUCUAGAGUGAGGAAGAGGGUCGUGGAAUUCCCAGUGUAGAGGUGAAAUUCGUAGAUAUUGGGAAGAACACCGGUGGCGAAGGCGGCGACCUGGUCCUUUACUGACGCUGAGGCGCGAAAGCGUGGGGAGCAAACAGGAUUAGAUACCCUAGUAGUCC